CCUCGAGCUCGGUCUCGGGACGAGAGAGAAAGAGAGGAUCGCGGAGCAGAGGCGGAGCAGAGCAGCAUCGGAUCGGAUCGAUCCUCCAUGGAUCCCGUUGCUCCGCUAGGGUUCCCUGCUCGAUCCGACCACGCGCUAGGGUUUGAGUUUGCCUCCGCGUGGGAUGUCGCCUGCCAGCCCGCGAGGCUCGCGUAUGGGUCGCCGUCACGCUCGCCGGCGGGCGGGGGCCGCCUCGAUCCGGCUUGCUCGCGGGCCGUGAGGUGAGAGCCCGAGGAGAAAGCGGAGCGUCGUCGUCCCCUUCCUCCGCGCGGCAGGCGCCACGCACUGCCCGCAGCGAGGAGCGACAACCCUACCUGAGAAAUCUGUUUUUCAACCCUUCCUGAAACCAUGUUCUGCUCUUGUUGUGCCAUGCACACUUUGCUGCUGUCCAUAUCAACCUGUGUAAGCACCUGAUGUCAAAAGAAAAGGGGAAAAUCAAUACCACAUCCUUCAAAAGAAGAAAACAAGUGCACGUUACGUACUAUCCUAAAAAGGAGGAGCAAAAGGAUUGGUGAGAAGAAAACAUGAGCAAACCUUUGCUUUGCCUGACCUGACUGAUGGAGGAGCUUGACGGCGCUUGACAACCAGAGCACCUCGCCGCCGCCGGCCGCUGCAGAAACCCUCGCCGCCGCCGCCGCCCCAGACGCGCCGCCGACUACCCGGAGGAAAUGCCUUUGCCUGAGGGAGAUGAGAACUAGUGGAUGAACCUGUGGAGUGCUGCAGUGGGGAAUUUUGGGGGGGAUUAAAAAGGAUCAGAAAAACCCUAGAUCCGAGUGUGUUUUUUGCACUUUAGUCACAAAUGCGCAAAAUAUUAUUUGUAAUGAAUUUUGGUUUUUGUGAAUAAGCUGUUUUGUUGUGUGCAUUGCUGCAAGAAGAGAGGAGAAAAAAAAAAGUAUCUGUUUUCAUGUGCCUAUUCGGUGGCACAAAUUUUUCCGUUGCUUCCUGUUUAGACACGCAACAUUUAAUUACUACCGGUCUUGAAAUGUGAACUGGUUUUCGUUUUUUUUUCUUAUCACGAAAUUUAGCACAACUCAUUUGGAUGAUAAUUAGUAAAAUGAAAUAUCAGGAGUACCUUGGAAUGAUGUAUCCUUGGAUGAAGGAAG